CGGAGGAUCCAAGUGUUAUCCGGAUUCAUUGGGUUUAAAGGGAGCGUAGGCGGAAUGAUAAGUCAGUGGUGAAAUCUCGGAGCUUAACUCCGAAACUGCCAUUGAUACUGUCAAUCUUGAGUACAUUUGAUGAGGGCGGAAUGUGUCAUGUAGCGGUGAAAUGCUUAGAUAUGACACAGAACACCGAUUGCGAAGGCAGCUCUCAAAACUGUAACUGACGCUGAGGCACGAAAGCGUGGGUAUCAAACAGGAUUAGAUACCCUGGUAGUCCACGCUGUAAACUAUGAUUACUCGAUGUUUGCGAUAUACUGUAAGCGUCUAAGCGAAAGCGAUAAGUAAUCCACCUGGGGAGUACGCUCGCAAGAGUG
rnacentral:rRNA from 1 species